CCCUUAGAUGUUCUGUGCAGCACGCGCGCUACAAUGGUCUUCGCAAACGGAUGCAUUCUCGAAGGAGAAUGCCAAUCUUGGAAUCUAUGCCUUGGUCGGGACAGUUGCUUGCAAUUUUUCGACUCGAACCAGGAAUUCCUUGUAAUCGUGAUUCAUCACAUCACGAUGAAUACGUCCCUGCCCUUUGUACACACCGCCCGUCGCUCCUACCGAUCGAAGAGUUAGGUGAAUUGUUUUGAUCGAUAAGAUUUGACUAUGGUCAACUCUCGUUGUGAAAUUCUGUGAAUCUGACUGUUUAGAGGAAGGAAAAGUCGUAACA
rnacentral:rRNA from 1 species